AAGGUUUAAAGGAUCCUUUUACGUAUAAUUUUAGUUUCUAGGUUUAGAUUAAAAUUUCUCUAAGUGGCUGCUGUAGUUUUCUUAAGUUCUCAAUAUUUUUCUGCAUUUUUAAUCUUCGAUUUUUCUCUAGAAAACUUCUACACUUUAAAAUACAAGUAGUUUAAUAUUGGAUGUUUCUUUUCUUCAUCAAAAGUUCUUAAUCAGAUCAUUCAAAGAGGAUUUU
rnacentral:lncRNA from 1 species